UUGUAUUUGGCCCUGAGGGAAAUUGUAUGCUUUGGAAUGUUCUCAAAAAGUGUUUGAGCUUUUAGGCAUUUAAAAAAAGCAAGCAAACAAACAAACUCCACCCAAGAAUUGUGCUCUGAUGACUGUUUUAUGAGAUUAGGAACUCAUCCUUGUUCACACCUUCAGAGUUCUUCUCUUGAAUUUUCCUAAAUCAGAAAUCACAAAACCCAGGCAAUCAGGAGUAAAAAACCCAAAAUUUGGAAUAUUCUGCCAUCAAAGCGUUCAUAUUUUAUCUUGCCAAUGAGAAGGGUUUUCAGAGGAACAGAUAUGAAAUUCCACAUGUAUAGGAAACUCCUGAUGAGAAAUCUCCUAUCAAUGCAGAUGAUCCACACUUUAUGGUAUUAAAGAUCUGUCUGGGACACUGAGAACUUAAGUGACUUAUGUGGAGUCAAGGAGUCAACAUGUGUUAGAGGAGAGAGCUGAACCUAUAUCUUCUGUAUUUUCUCUUUUUAUAUUAUAAACAUGAAAAACUAAAAGAUUUUUAACAACAUAUAACUGUAUACAUAAUGGUUUUUUUGCAUGUUUAAGAUUUGAUUGUGUGUUAUAAAAGAAUAAUAAAUUCUUAAUUUUAUAAGGAUAAAAUAUGAGCCAAUAAAAUUAUUUGCAUAGAUUAUUUUAUGAAGUAUGGUGGCAUGGUGUGAGAAUUUUUGAAGGGAAAGAAAAUAUUGUCACCAUCUAAAGUUUGGAAACCAAUGCUUUAAGCCCUUCCUAUGUUCAUUGUACCCAGGAAACUUGGAA
rnacentral:lncRNA from 1 species